CUAGUCUCUCAUAGAAACUUCUGGCCUCUGGACACUGUGGGAGCAACUUUUCCUUUAUUAGACUGUCUCCUCUUUAACUGGAAUAUUGCAGCAUGACUGGGAAGCCUGUCCUUCAUUACUUCAAUUGAAGAAGAAGAAUGGAGUCCAUCCGGUGGCUCCUGGCAGCAGCUGGAGUAGAGUUUGAGGAAGAACUUUUUGAAACCCAUGAAGAGUUUGAGAAGUUAAUCCAAGGUGGAACCCUGAUGUACGAGCAAGUGCCCAUGGUGGAAAUCGAUGGAAUGACUUUGGUGCAGACCAGUGCCAUCUUAAGAUAUGUAGCUGCAAAAUAUGACUUGUAUGGAAGGAACCUGGAGGAACAAGCCUGAGAAGGAGAUGAACCUUGAAUACAUCCUCCACCGAGCUACAACAAGAUUCUUCCCCGUUUAUGAGAAGGCCCUGAGAGACCACGGGCAAGACUUUCUUGUGGGCAAUCGGCUGAGCUUGGCUGAUGUCCAGCUCCUUGAAGUCAUCUUAAUGGCUGAAGAAUGCAAAGCCAGUGUUCUCUCGGGUUUCCCUCUGCUACAGGACUUCAAGGUGAGAACCAGCCAAAUUCCUACAAUUAACAGCUUCCUCCAACCUGGAAGCCAGAGGAAGCCUCCUUUGGAGGAGCGAUCCAUUGGGACUGCAAAGGACAUAUUCAAAUUUGAAUGAGGACUGUUUCUUAAAAACAUGAGCAAUAUAGUAGCUGAGUAUUAACAGCUACAGAGGCUGGAGUUACUCAGUAAGUAUACUGAGUAACUUGACACUGCAUUCAUAAAAAGACACUCACUAAGUAUAUGGCCAGAGAAAUAUCCUGAAGUUAGUAAUAAAUGUUAGGAAUCUUAGUAUGUUAGCAAUGUUAGAAUGUUAGUAAUGGAAAUAUUAAAUGUGUAAGAGAAAAACUACUAGAAGCUUAUCAAUAAACUACAAGAACCAACUCUUGUUUGAAGUAAGACAGGCUACCAAGACAGAAUUCAGAAAAUCCAAGGAGCCCUCGGCCUUCUGUAUGAUCCUAGAAUAAACUUGUAUGUAGCAAGUGAAA
rnacentral:lncRNA from 1 species